rnacentral:rRNA from 1 species
CACCAGACUCCUACGGGAGGCAGCAGUGGGGGAUAUUGCACAAUGGGGGGAACCCUGAUGCAGCGACGCCGCGUGAGCGAUGAAGUAUUUCGGUAUGUAAAGCUCUAUCAGCAGGGAAGAAGGAAGACGGUACCUGACUAAGAAGCCCCGGCUAACUACGUGCCAGCAGCCGCGGUAAUACGUAGGGGGCAAGCGUUAUCCGGAUUUACUGGGUGUAAAGGGAGCGCAGGCGGCCUUGCAAGUCUGAUGUGAAAGGCCGGGGCCCAACCCCGGGACUGCAUUGGAAACUGCGAGGCUGGAGUGUCGGAGAGGCAGGCGGAAUUCCUAGUGUAGCGGUGAAAUGCGUAGAUAUUAGGAGGAACACCAGUGGCGAAGGCGGCCUGCUGGACGAUGACUGACGCUGAGGCUCGAAAGCGUGGGGAGCAAACAGGAUUAGAUACCCCCGUACC